rnacentral:lncRNA from 1 species
GUUUAAAUAAAACCAAAAUAAUACAUUCAAAGUUUCAAAAUAUAGCACAUCGAGAUUAAUUGUUCAAAUAAAGCUACAAUAAUACGUUUAAAGUUUCAAAAUAUAACACACUAAGAUUAAUUGUUCAAAUAAAGUUACAAUAAUACAUUAAUAUAACACCGAAAUUAAUUGUUCAAAGAAAGCCAAAAUUAAUUGAAAUGGCGAAGUUUUUGAAACCAAACACAGUCUGAUCCUUUAUUAGGGCUAUCGCACUUGUCGAAAAGUGGUAAUUACGAAGCCAUCAACGAUGGGAAACAGGAGAAGUACGGGUGGCGAUCUUGAAGGUUGUGAUAGUAUAAUUGUUUGGCUGGAACUAAUGAUUGUGAAGUGGCUCAAUGGACUCGGGGAAGAAGAUUGCUUUCUCGCUAGAAUCACACGGCCGACGUCCUACAAAUCGAUGUCGAAUGUGUAUCGAAUUAGUAUUGGGUGUUGCUAGUGCUUUUGACGGCGGAGAAGCUUAGGUUUUUUGUUUGCAAAUUGUUAGUGACUUGGCGUUACGUUACUUUGUUUUUGGGUAACUUUGCAAAUUGUUGGUAACUUGGCGUUAUGUUACUUUGCUUUUGCUAGUGCGUGUGACUUUACUUUUAUUUUUUUUUACAAUUUUUACAAGUUAUAUUUGUAUAUUUGAUUAUUUAAUUAUUUAAUUAUUUUUUAUUUAAUAUUAUUAUUGGGUAAUGGCUAAGAUAUGUUAUAGUGCUUAUGUAACUAUGUAAUGUCACAUUUAUA